CAGUGCAGUCAUCCAUAAAGUAGAAAGCACUACUAAACUCUUCGCCACAGUGUAGUGUUUCCUACUUUAUGGAUGAGUGUACUGU
rfam:Tetraodon nigroviridis chromosome 7 SCAF14557, whole genome shotgun sequence.